AUGGCCAUAUCACGUGGAAACUCCGGUUCUCGUACGAUCAUCGAAGUUAAGCAACGUCGACCCUGGUCUGUACCUAGAUGAGUGACCCCUUGGGAAUGCCAGCUGUCGUAA